rnacentral:rRNA from 1 species
GUGACCGAUAGUGAACCAGUACCGUGAGGGAAAGGUGAAAAGCACCCCGGAAGGGGAGUGAAAUAGAACCUGAAACCGUGUGCUUACAAGUAGUCAGAGCCCGUUAAUGGGUGAUGGCGUGCCUUUUGUAGAAUGAACCGGCGAGUUACGAUUUGAUGCAAGGUUAAGCAGUAAAUGUGGAGCCGUAGCGAAAGCGAGUCUGAAUAGGGCGUUUAGUAUUUGGUCGUAGACCCGAAACCAGGUGAUCUACCCUUGGUCAGGUUGAAGUUCAGGUAACACUGAAUGGAGGACCGAACCGACUUACGUUGAAAAGUGAGCGGAUGAACUGAGGGUAGCGGAGAAAUUCCAAUCGAACCUGGAGAUAGCUGGUUCUCUCCGAAAUAGCUUUAGGGCUAGCCUCAAGUGAUGAUUAUUGGAGGUAGAGCACUGUUUGGACGAGGGGCCCCUCUCGGGUUACCGAAUUCAGACAAACUCCGAAUGCCAAUUAAUUUAACUUGGGAGUCAGAACAUGGGUGAUAAGGUCCGUGUUCGAAAGGGAAACAGCCCAGACCACCAGCUAAGGUCCCAAAAUAUAUGUUAAGUGGAAAAGGAUGUGGCGUUGCCCAGACAACUAGGAUGUUGGCUUAGAAGCAGCCAUCAUUUAAAGAGUGCGUAAUAGCUCACUAGUCGAGUGACACUGCGCCGAAAAUGUACCGGGGCUAAACAUAUUACCGAAGCUGUGGAUUGUCCUUUGGACAAUGGUAGGAGAGCGUUCUAAGGGCGUUGAAGCAUGAUCGUAAGGACAUGUGGAGCGCUUAGAAGUGAGAAUGCCGGUGUGAGUAGCGAAAGACGGGUGAGAAUCCCGUCCACCGAUUGACUAAGGUUUCCAGAGGAAGGCUCGUCCGCUCUGGGUUAGUCGGGUCCUAAGCUGAGGCCGACAGGCGUAGGCGAUGGAUAACAGGUUGAUAUUCCUGUACCACCUAUAAUCGUUUUAAUCGAUGGGGGGACGCAGUAGGAUAGGCGAAGCGUGCGAUUGGAUUGCACGUCUAAGCAGUAAGGCUGAGUAUUAGGCAAAUCCGGUACUCAUUAAGGCUGAGCUGUGAUGGGGAGAAGACAUUGUGUCUUCGAGUCGUUGAUUUCACACUGCCGAGAAAAGCCUCUAGAUAGAAAAUAGGUGCCCGUACCGCAAACCGACACAGGUAGUCAAGAUGAGAAUUCUAAGGUGAGCGAGCGAACUCUCGUUAAGGAACUCGGCAAAAUGACCCCGUAACUUCGGGAGAAGGGGUGCUCUUUAGGGUUAACGCCCAGAAGAGCCGCAGUGAAUAGGCCCAAGCGACUGUUUAUCAAAAACACAGGUCUCUGCUAAACCGUAAGGUGAUGUAUAGGGGCUGACGCCUGCCCGGUGCUGGAAGGUUAAGAGGAGUGGUUAGCUUCUGCGAAGCUACGAAUCGAAGCCCCAGUAAACGGCGGCCGUAACUAUAACGGUCCUAAGGUAGCGAAAUUCCUUGUCGGGUAAGUUCCGACCCGCACGAAAGGCGUAACGAUUUGGGCACUGUCUCAACGAGAGACUCGGUGAAAUCAUAGUACCUGUGAAGAUGCAGGUUACCCGCGACAGGACGGAAAGACCCCGUGGAGCUUUACUGUAGCCUGAUAUUGAAAUUCGGCACAGCUUGUACAGGAUAGGUAGGAGCCUUUGAAACGUGAGCGCUAGCUUACGUGGAGGCGCUGGUGGGAUACUACCCUAGCUGUGUUGGCUUUCUAACCCGCACCACUUAUCGUGGUGGGAGACAGUGUCAGGCGGGCAGUUUGACUGGGGCGGUCGCCUCCUAAAAGGUAACGGAGGCGCUCAAAGGUUCCCUCAGAAUGGUUGGAAAUCAUUCAUAGAGUGUAAAGGCAUAAGGGAGCUUGACUGCGAGACCUACAAGUCGAGCAGGGUCGAAAGACGGACUUAGUGAUCCGGUGGUUCCGCAUGGAAGGGCCAUCGCUCAACGGAUAAAAGCUACCCCGGGGAUAACAGGCUUAUCUCCCCCAAGAGUUCACAUCGACGGGGAGGUUUGGCACCUCGAUGUCGGCUCAUCGCAUCCUGGGGCUGUAGUCGGUCCCAAGGGUUGGGCUGUUCGCCCAUUAAAGCGGUACGCGAGCUGGGUUCAGAACGUCGUGAGACAGUUCGGUCCCUAUCCGUCGUGGGCGUAGGAAAUUUGAGAGGAGCUGUCCUUAGUACGAGAGGACCGGGAUGGACAUACCUCUGGUGUACCAGUUGUCGUGCCAACGGCAUAGCUGGGUAGCUAUGUGUGGACGGGAUAAGUGCUGAAAGCAUCUAAGCAUGAAGCCCCCCUCAAGAUGAGAUUUCCCAACUUCGGUUAUAAGAUCCCUCAAAGAUGAUGAGGUUAAUAGGUUCGAGGUGGAAGCAUGGUGACAUGUGGAGCUGACGAAUACUAA